GGGAUAGCUCAGUUGGUAGAGCGUUUGACUGUAGAGGACACAUACAUCAAACAGUCACUGGUUCGAUUCCGGUUCC
rnacentral:tRNA from 1 species